GACGAACCGUGCGAACGUUAUUCGGAAUCACUGGGCUUAAAGGGUGCGUAGGCGGGCUCGCCAGUCAGGGGUGAAAUCCCACGGCCCAACCGUGGAAGUGCCUCUGAUACUGCGGGCCUCGAGGGGGAUAGGGGCGUGCGGAACUUCCGGUGGAGCGGUGAAAUGCGUAGAUAUCGGGAAGAACACCCGUGGCGAAGGCGGCACUCUGGGACGGUACUGACGCUGAGACGCGAAAGCGUGGGGAGCGAACAGG
rnacentral:rRNA from 1 species